rnacentral:misc_RNA from 1 species
GAUGAAGAACGUAGCGAAAUGCGAUAAGUAGUGUGAAUUGCAGAAUUCAGUGAAUCAUCGAAUCUUUGAACGCACAUUGCGCCCUUUGGUAUUCCAAAGGGCAUGCCUGUUCGAGCGUCAUUUGUACCUCAAGCUUUGCUUGGUGUUGGGCGUCUUGUCUCUAGCUUUGCUGGAGACUCGCCUUAAAGUAAUUGGCAGCCGGCCUACUGGUUUCGGAGCGCAGCACAAGUCGCACUCUCUAUCAGCAAAGGUCUAGCAUCCACUAAGCCUUUUUUUCAACUUUUGACCUCGGAUCAGGUAGGGAUACCCGCUGAACUUAAGCAUAUCAAUAAGCGGAGGA